rnacentral:rRNA from 1 species
AACGAACGCUGGCGGCAGGCUUAACACAUGCAAGUCGAACGCCCCGCAAGGGGAGUGGCAGACGGGUGAGUAACGCGUGGGAAUCUACCCAGUUCUACGGAACAACUGAGGGAAACUUCAGCUAAUACCGUAUACGCCCUACGGGGGAAAGAUAUAUCGGAAUUGGAUGAGCCCGCGUUGGAUUAGCUAGUUGGUGAGGUAACGGCUCACCAAGGCGACGAUCCAUAGCUGACCUGAGAGGAUGAUCAGCCACACUGGGACUGAGACCCGGCCCAGACUCCUACGGGAGGCAGCAGUGGAGAAUAUUGGACAAUGGGCGCAAGCCUGAUCCAGCCAUGCCGCGUGAGUGAUGAAGUCCUUAGGGUUGUAAAGCUCUUUCAGUGGGGACGAUAAUGACGGUACCCACAGAAGAAGCCCCGGCUAACUUCGUGCCAGCAGCCGCCGUAACAC